UACACUUUCAAGUACCUUGAGCCCCAGAAAAUGGGAGCUACAGCCGUUGGGUUCUUGGGGUUUGUAGUGAGGCCGUGGCAUGGGAGCCUUCCCUGGGAAAGAAAAGACAGGACAAAUGUUAGGAAAGCUGAUCUUCCUGAGACUAAGUCCAAAAAGCAAGGAUUGACAGGCAGCUCCCCUUUGGUCUGCAUCCCCAAACACUACUGCUUACACUACUAUGUUAGCAAGGGAGUUUCUUUCUACCCUCAGUUAAUUCUUGGGCUGUUAGUGUGCUGUGGAUCUCCUCCAAACUGUGCCAGACCUUGCAUGUCUGGUCUUGCUCUGUGCAGGUCUUCUUGAUCCAUUUUCAGUCCAUGAUGAUGCAUUGCCAUGUUUUGCAAAUCAUUUCUAUUCCUUUAAUCUCUGCACCUUGCUCAGUCUGCUUCUUAAUAUGCAUAAAGGAGCAAGAUGUCCCUCUGUGAGUAAUUAUUUACCCAAUGUAGGAAGAGUCCAGCUAACAGCCAGCUCUAGCAGUACCUUCAGCAGCAUUUUAAUCUGAUUUUUGUAGGGGAGCCUGUUCAGUGCCCAACCACCCUCUGGGAGAGGAACCUUUUCCUGAUAUCCAUUCCCUGGGUGCUGUCCCUACUCUGGGAAAACAUAAACUGAGUGGAUGCUCCAGCAAAAACACAUGUGAGCCAAGCCUUCUGAAACCCAUCACAUCAAGGGUUAAGUUUCUGCUUUCCUGAGCACAGCUAGAGAAUUUAUAUAGACAUAAAAUGGAUCUUAUUCAGCCCUUCAAGGCAGGGUUGGGUUCUUUUAAACUCCAUUUCCACUUCUUGCUUCUUGUCAGAACCAGGAAUUAUUUGAGACACUUUCCCCAUUUUUCUGUUCAGGUACCUAAAAUGCCAGUGCUUAAUUCAACCAUAAAUCUGCUGUGCCCUUGGGAAGGCCUUACAGCCAAAAGCCUCAGAGGGACUUAGGUAGGAGUGUUCACCUCUCAAUUAAACUUUGCCAGAGCUGUUUUGCUUAAAUAACAGAUUUGUUACAAAUAAAUAACAAACUGAAAUCUUGUCCAGCUGUGAGAUGCCAACAGGCAAUUUUCCCCUUUCAAAAGAGCUUUUGGUUUUUUGGAAGGGAGUGGGAACUGGGACUCAGAAUUCAAAUGUUCCUGAGCUGAUGCCAGAGGCAGAGGAAAGUUCAAAAUCUGCUGUGGGUUUUGCAGAAUGGAGUCAAAUUUGAGUGACUGGCUUGUAAUAUUGAUUGUAAAUUUUGUUCCUGCAGCACACUGGCAGUUAAUGGGCUAAGGUGGCAAGUCUGAGUAGGAGUGAGAAUUCUUGGGGAUGUGGAGAUCAUAGAAUUGUAGAAUGGCUUGGGUUGGUCUGGACCUUUAAGCUCAUCCAGUUAUCCAGUUCUACCUCCAUUAUCCAGUUCCCAGCCAAAGACAGCUGCUUUCCAGCUCCUCAAUUAAGCCAAAGUCACAGCUAUUAUAAUGUUUUAAAAAGCUGUACUGAGGUAAAAAACCCUCACAUAAGGAUUGUGCUCAUCCACAGAACAUCAAACUGCCUUCAGGAUAAGCCCUUGAAGGAAACCUGUCCCCUCUGCAAAACAGAACUUUAAAACUUGUAAAAUGUCCCUUUGUACUCUUUCUCAUCUAGGUCAGGUCCAUGACACCACAAUUAACCUCUCUCCCACAUCUUGUCUUCUAGUUAACAGGUAAACAAAAACAAAACAGGAAUAUCAGACGUUCCUGCCUCUCUAAGAGCAUUGACUCAGUGCUCCUGUUAUCAUUUAUUGCUUGCCCAUCCUUACAGGCAGGAGGAUACACUCCAGGCCACUGCCUUGUUGGCACAGCCCUAGAACUGAAGUUGAGUUUCCCUGAUGCAUUUUAAUCCUCCCAGGCUGUUGUGGCUGUUCCAAGGGGCUGGAAAGCAGCCAGCUGGCUGGAACAGCUGCUGCCAAUGCAGGAGGUCUCAGGCACUGCAGGGCUGGGACGCUGGCAGGGGGAGCUGAGUGUAUUUUUGGGUGAAUGGAUGGUCCCAGGGCUCCUUGCACUUUUGGGUGGUCCAUUGUUGUUUGUGUGCCGCAGGGAGGCUUUGAGCAGAGGUGCCUGCACAUACCCACCCUUGUAUGCCCUGUUGAAGGCUCUUUUCCCACAGCCUGGAUGUGCCCUCUCAUCUUAAGCCCUUCAGGACCAAAUGCUGAGCAAAGCAGUGAAGUUUUUUCACUGAUCCUAGCCAGGAGGAAGCUACAAGGGCUUCACUCCCAGCUCAGGCUGUUUGUUUCCCCUGAGAUGCCCAGUGAGACUUUGUAAGCAGGAGGAUAUUUGUCAGUAAAUGCUAGUGUAACCCUAAUGUCCUGAUUUAAGGGAGUAAUCCAUCAAGUUGGCUGUUCUCAGACCUCAGUAGCUGCUGAAAAAUCAGGAGAGCCUUACAGCUGGAACAGCCAAGUGCCCUGUGCUCAGCUGAAGAUGGAUGUGGCAAUCACAGGUAAAACACUUCCAAUAAGAUGCAGGGGUGUGAGCAGGGAUUUGUGCUGCUCUCUGGAGAUGCUUUUGCUUUUCACAAGGACAGGCAGAGAGAGCCCUCUGGAUGUGUGCAAAAGCAGUAACUUCUGCACAAUUUGGAGAUUCAGCCCUGCUGAGUUGCUGCUUCUGAGGGGACAGAGCUCGAUGGCACUGCCUGUGUCUCUGCACAUGGCCCUGAGUGAUGAGCUCCUGACACGGGGUGAGGAGGAGGAGCCACAGCCAAGGCUUGGUUUCUUAGACAGGUUCUUCAUGAUGGGAAUUAUGCAUAAUGUCCACUGCUCUGCAGGGUGAAGCCCAGGAAUUGCUGUGGAGUACUAACCCCAGAGGUUUUGAUCAUGGAAGAGGCCAGCCUGACCUUCCCACAUGUGAGUUCAUUGUGCUGUUGGAGACUCUGGUGCUUUCUUCCCCUCCCUAGAACCAUUCCAGGGCAGGGAGGACUGGCUUUGUCUGCUGCAUCAAUCCUGCUCACCUUUCUCGGCCAAACGCUGGCUCCCACUUCAGGGAAGACCGUGGCUCCCCCUGCUGACACAUCACUCAUCUGAACAGGUGGGGAAGGACAGGCAAGAGUUUGACUGUCAGCUACAACCUUUGCAGAGAUGAAGUGUAAACACCAAGCCCCAGGAAAUGUCAAGCCUCUGUUAGCAACAGGAGCACAUCCAAGACUGGCACUGCAGGAUGCAGCAUGCUCCAGGUGGCAGAAGAAUGCUGAGACAUGGAUAUGAUGCAUCUGCCAAACAAAAAUCCCCAAAAGCAGCCAUGCUACACAGCUAUGGUGACCAGGGAAUGCUCACAAGCAGCCCUAACCUCACGUUUCAGGCACAAGAAGAGCCCCAACACACCCAGCAGCCUCAGUGUGGGCUCUCCCUGCCUUUGUCCAGUCUGUUAAUAAACAAAAAAACCCAAAGAAAACAACCCAAAGGAAGAAAAACCCAAGCAUUCUUGCUCUGUUGAUUAUUGAGAGUGGCAAUGAAUGCUUCACCAGAGAGAAUACUGCAGCCUUUCAGGAAGGGGAGUACUGUAUGUAUUUAAAAACAAAAACUAACUGCCUCAACAUACAAAGAAAGCCUAUGAAAGGUGGAGGAAGAGGGAAUUGAAACCAUAUUCCAAGUGCCAGCCUGUCUGCUGGGUGCUGAGCAAAACCACAGGGAGGCCUGGAGUGCUGCAGAAUUAGAGGAGGAUUUAACCCUGGAGGUGUCAUGAAAGCUGCAUCCAUGGCUUUGCCUGGCCACAGAAUAUUCCAGCUGUCCCACAUUCCCUCCUCUGGUGCUGUCACAGCUUGGUCCCUUGCUGGUAAGUCUCUGCCUCAUUCAAAACAAUUUCUUCACACAAAUUGGCUUUUUUCCUGCCCUUGUCUACCAAAAAAAAAAAAAAAAAAAAAAAAAAAAAAUACUCCACUCCCCUGACCAGUGGUGCAGGAGAUGCUUUAAACAUGCUCAGCAGUUUGUUUUCUUUUAAUAUUUACACUCUUCCAGGUUCACUGCAUUCUGUCCUAUUUUUGACCAACUGCCACUUCUGAGUCCAUGAUAGGCCCUAACAAAAAAGGGACAAUUCCUGGGAAGCCACAGGCAGGGCAGUUCAAGGUACCACUGACCAAGUUACAGAGGAUUUGUUCUUUCCUUAAUAAUCACCCAGUUCCCUGACCACACAAGUCUGGCGUUUUGCUGAUCCACUUGGCUUUGUAAAAAGCCAUCCCUGAACUGUUAUAAAGAUUUAAUGCUUCCAUUAGCAUGCUGAAUACACACUGGGGGGUCUUUUAGCAAUUUUUAUGUGCACUGGAAUCAAGAAAUGGCUCAGGGGUACCUUGAAGCCCAUCCAGUGCCACCCCUGCUAUGGACAGGGACACCCUCCACUAUCCCAGAUUGCUCCAAGCCCUGUCCAACCUGGCCUUGGACACUGCCAGGGAUCCAGGGGAGCUACAAAAUGUCCCAUAUUCCUGCCUCUUAUAAUUCUGCACCUUAGAGAUUUUUAAUGACAGGACACUUCUACACAGAAAUAAUUUAAAGACUAAGCAGUGCAUCAGGGAAAAGCCAGACAAUUCUCUGGAGCUACUGAACACGCAAGAGAGCAUCCCUUCCCCAGAUCUCAUCUCCUCAGCUGCACUGGUCAGUCUAGGAGUUGGGAUUAGAUCCCAACAUCACUUCUGUAAGCCAGUGGCCACUAAACACUGGCAUUUGUGUUUAAAAGCCUCCUAAGCCACACUUGGUGUGCAGAGAACAGCAGAGACACAACAGGGAGCGAGUAAAAACCCAGCCUGGUAUUUCUAAAGUGGAAACUUUUACCAUCACAUGCUGCAAGCUCCUGCUGCCUGCUGGGAGGAGAGAGGAGGGAAAAAACAGUUUUUAUCUGUAAAAGCAGUGUGUGAGUGGGUGGGUUUAUCCUGGUGCUGCACACAGGCUCCCUGGUGCUGGCAAAGUGCCCCCCUUCACAGAGCUGCCACGUCCCACCGAGGGAACAGUAGCUCUCUCUCAGAGACAGGAAUGCUGUAAUUUAGGAGGGCAUGUGCUGGGAAGGAAUGUUGGGAGGGGGAAAGCAGUCAUCUAUUAAAAAAAUGAAGUGAGCAUUUUUUGGUUUUCAGGAGCAAUGAUUCAUCUGGAAUCUGAACCGGCUCAAGCAGCUCCAAGGGAAAGAUGUUUCUGGCAGUGCAGGAGAGCAGCAGGAACAGCACAGGCCCUCUAAAUCAGGCUAGUGGGGGUGGCUUCUGCCUCCUACUCCACAUUUAGGUGUCAAGUUCUCUUGCAAAGUCCAUACCCAUCCUGCAAAUCUGCACACAGAGGAAAGCAAAGGCAAGGGGAAGCAGGAGAAAGGCAGUCCUGCUCCACUCUUAUAAGGUUAUUGUUACCCUCAAAAAAAUUGCCUUCCCCAACUUCUUGGAUGUGUCUCUACAAUUUUAAUUCCAAUUUCCAGUGAGAUACUGAAUUUAAAAACUUAGCUCAGUAAAAUGGGAUUUAAUUCUGAGAGUUCCUUGGGUACAUUGGAGGGAAGUUGCACAUUGCCACAUUUUUAGCACCAAACCUCUAAGAAUUUAAGGGUCCCAUUUCCCCAGGUUCUAUCCUGUUUUUUUAAUUGGCCUUUCAUGUUGGGUGGUGCCUUGUACUAUUUUUUCUGACUGUGGCAUCUGCACUACCUCAGGGACUAACACUUCCUACUAAUGAAAAAUCACAACUCAAAAUAAAGAGUUCUUUAACUAAGCCUCAUCUAUUUUAAUAAGGACCAAUUAUGCAUCCAAUUUCCAUCAGUAAUCUGGUCACGGUCUCCAAUUCCCAUCAUUAGCACUCAAGUUUGACAUGAGAUGUUCAAACGGAUGAAGGAGUUUCCUCAGUAAAUACUCCAGAGCUGUCUCACACAGAGGACAAAUCCCACAAGUGACUAAAUUAAGCUCCCAAAAACACACUGACAAAUAACCAAGAUAGGCAAGACAUGGACAGACUUGAACAUUAAAAACAAGAAAUAAAAAUUAAAUGCAAUGCAUGUCCAACAGGAAGAUGAAUGUUCCUGAAGUCCCUCUGUGGGGGCAGUUUUAAGGAGCAAGCUUCCCAGACAAUUUCCAGAGGAUUCCCACUACUUGCAUGUGCCAAUGAGCACCUAGACCCACAUGCUGCAAAGGUGUGAGGCAUUAAAAAAAAAAAGUUUUCAAACAAAAGACUUCAAAAGAAGUCUUGCCACUAGAGUGGUCUUAAAGACCUCGGCACCAGUGGUUUUCCAGUUUCCCUGAGAUUUAUUAUUCCUGAAUCAAUCACCUUCCUGUGAUCCCAUAUUUGGAAGCACUUCAACCUUUCUGAAGAAAUUCACAGCUAACUAAAAGCCCUUCAGCUCCAGGCCAUUCCAAGUCCAGAAUUCCAAGUUCAGGGUUUGUUCAAAGCAGCUGAAAGAACCCUGGGUUUCUAUUCAAGCAGCAACUACGUUCUACCAUUCCACCAUGGAAAUCCUUUAAAAUCACCACCUAGCAUUAAUGGGCAGGAAUCACAGCAGCCCCAAGCUCUAAGCAUGUGUGGACACUGCAGCAGAGGAGCAGGGGUGAGCCAGGGAGGUGCCCCCAUUGCACUGGGUGCCAGCAGAGCCCCACACCCACGUUUAGUAUGUUAGUCACAGCACACAAGCCAUGCUCAGCCACAGAGGGCACCUCCACCUUGGAAUGCCACCACUGACAAGCAAUCUCUACUUCAGCAGACCUUGUGCUUUGUUAUGUGACAGCACAGCCUGCUUAGGCCCUUCUAUUUGAAAGAAAGGCUGAGGAAUAAGGAAAGUUACACAAAAUCCUUGCCCACGUUCAGCGCUGAAGCAGCACAGCCCCUGGACACACUUCCUCGGACAAAGAA